rnacentral:rRNA from 1 species
GUAGGUGGCAAGCGUUGUCCGGAAUUAUUGGGCGUAAAGCGUGCGCAGGCGGUUCUUUAAGUCUGAUGUGAAAGCCCACGGCUCAACCGUGGAGGGUCAUUGGAAACUGGAGAACUUGAGUACAGAAGAGGAAAGCGGAAUUCCACGUGUAGCGGUGAAAUGCGUAGAGAUGUGGAGGAACACCAGUGGCGAAGGCGGCUUUCUGGUCUGUAACUGACGCUGAGGCGCGAAAGCGUGGGGAGCAAACAGGGAUUAGAUACCCUGGUAGUCCACGCCGUAAACGAUGAGUGCUAAGUGUUAGGGGGUUUCCGCCCCCUUAGUGCUGCAGCUAACGCAUUAAGCACUCCGCCUGGGGAGUACGGCCGCAAGGCUG